AAAAAAGCAGGUCCUUGUUGCCUUUUUGUCAACAUGGUUCUCAUGAACUUCAGGAAAAUUACCUUCAUUGUUAUUGGGUGAACCUCUGUAGUUAUUGGUGGCUGAAGGUUCAGUAAAUAAUGGCACAUUG
rfam:Citrus sinensis cultivar Ridge Pineapple sweet orange scaffold00003_contig_67, whole genome shotgun sequence.